UACAGAGGUCCCAAGCGUUGUUCGGAUUCACUGGGCGUAAAGGGUGCGUGGGCGGUCGGGUAAGUCCGCUGUGAAAGUCGGGGGCUCAACCCUCGGAUGCCGGUGGAUACUGUUGGGCUAGAGUGCGGAAGAGGCGAGUGGAAUUCCUGGUGUAGCGGUGAAAUGCGCAGAUAUCUGGAAGAACACCAAAGGCGAAGGCAGUGUCCUGGGUGGUCGCUGACGCUGAGAGGCGAAAGCCAGGGGAGCGAACGGG
rnacentral:rRNA from 1 species